AUGUCAGCAGACUGCACACAUCAAAAUGUGGCCAUUGCUCUGACAUCGACUGCACUGGUGAUAUCUGUGUGUUUAAAUGUUGUAUUCUGUUUAUUAAGGAGAAAGAAAAAAAUAUAUGCAGCUAAUGAAAAAACGUCUGAAUAUGGAGAUGAGCCAUUACGUCAAGAUUCACUUCGGUCUUACAGGUUUGAGGAUGAUGAGAUGGAAAGACAGGAAAAUCCUAUUUAUGGAAAUAUCUGUUUAGAUAGUGGAGGAGCUUUUGAAAUGUCUCCGGAGGUGUGCUAUGAACAAAUGUCCCAUGCAAGCACAGCAAAGCAGGGAUUAAAGGUCCAGCAGGGGGACGUGUCCUAUGCCUCUCUGGAUCUGACUGCCAAUAAAAAGCGUAGGAAGAAGAGAAAAUACAACAAACAGGCUCCAACUCACCAGGCUCAGACACAUCCUCAACCUGCAUCCCAGCAGAACUGCAUGGAUCUGGAUGAAGAGGCUGAUGUCACCCUUCCGUCCCGGAGCAGCAGCCUCAUGGUUUCACGUCAUAGUAUCUACCUUAACAGUCAUCAAGUAGCCCUGGAGGCAGAAGAGAGGGAGAGGGAGAGAGAGAGGGAGAGAGUAAGAGAGAUGGAAUUGGAAAGAGAAAGAGAUGAUAAUGCAGAGUUUGAGAUGCACAGAAAUGUGCAUGAAGACUUUGAAUACUCCCACAGUAGAUCAAGACAAAGUCUAGAACAGGACAGUUAACAGUUAAAAAAAAACUUUAGCGUCUUAAAAGAUGAAACACAGGAUACUGUGGGGUGGUGCUGUCAACAGCUGUGAUAUUUAAAGCUCAUCGCUAAAGUAUAUGAGUCACACCCCAAAUCAUAAUUUCUGUCUGUUCAAAAGCAUACAGAGGAGACCAGCUAUCUGUUAGGUUGUGUCCAAUCGAGACACAUCUAAAUCAGUUUAUCACUUUAAGUGUGCUUUCUUGUUUCUUGCAUUUGAAG
ensembl:lncRNA